rnacentral:tRNA from 1 species
GCGGGAAUAGCUUAAUGGCAAAGCGUCUACCUCCCAAGUAGAAGACGAUAAUUCGAUUUUACUCUUCCCGCUCCA